AGGGACUUAGGAUAGCACCGUAAACCAGAAACCUUCAAAGUUUCAAACAAGAGCAAAACCUCUUAGUACCUG
rnacentral:tRNA from 1 species